rnacentral:rRNA from 1 species
CAGCACCUCAAGUGGUCAGGAUGAUUAUUGGGCCUAAAGCAUCCGUAGCCGGCGCUGUAAGUUUUCGGUUAAAUCUGUACGCUCAACGUACAGGCUGCCGGGAAUACUGCAGCGCUAGGGAGUGGGAGAGGUAGACGGUACUCGGUAGGAAGGGGUAAAAUCCUUUGAUCUAUUGAUGACCACCUGUGGCGAAGGCGGUCUACCGGAACACGUCCGACGGUGAGGGAUGAAAGCUGGGGGAGCAAACCGGAUUAGAGACCCGAGUAGUCC